UACGUAGGGUGCAAGCGUUGUCCGGAAUUACUGGGCGUAAAGCGCGCGUAGGCGGCUUUGCAAGUCGGGUGUGAAAUCCCCAGGCUUAACCUGGGAACUGCAUUCGAGACUGCAUUGCUAGAGUAUGGGGGAGGGAAGUGGAAUUUCCGGUGUAGCGGUGAAAUGCGUAGAUAUCGGAAGGAACAUCAGUGGCGAAAGCGACUUCCUGGACCAAUACUGACGCUCAUGUGCGAAAGCGUGGGGAGCAAACAGG
rnacentral:rRNA from 1 species